GCAAGUCGAGCGAUCUCUUCGGAGAUAGCGGCGGACGGGUUAGUAACGCGUGGGAAUAUACCCUUCACUACGGAAUAGCCUCGGGAAACUGGGAGUAAUACCGUAUACGCCCUUCGGGGGAAAGAUUUAUCGGUGAAGGAUUAGCCCGCGUCUGAUUAGAUAGUUGGUGGGGUAACGGCCUACCAAGUCGACGAUCAGUAGCUGGUUUGAGAGGAUGAUC
rnacentral:rRNA from 1 species